rnacentral:rRNA from 1 species
CCUACGGGAGGCAGCAGUGAGGAAUAUUGGUCCAUGGACGAGAGUCUGAACCAGCCAAGUAGCGUGAAGGAUGACUGCCCUAUGGGUUGUAAACUUCUUUUAUAAAGGAAUAAAACGAGGCACGUGUGCCUUUUUGCAUGUACUUUAUGAAUAAGGAUCGGCUAACUCCGUGCCAGCAGCCGCGGUAAUACGGAGGAUCCGAGCGUUAUCCGGAUUUAUUGGGUUUAAAGGGAGCGUAGAUGGGUUGUUAAGUCAGUUGUGAAAGUUUGCGGCUCAACCGUAAAAUUGCAAUUGAUACUGGCAGUCGUGAGUACAGUUGAGGUAGGCGGAAUGCGUGGUGUAGCGGUGAAAUGCUUAGAUAUCACGAAGAACCCCGAUUGCGAAGGCAGCUUACUAAACUGUGACUGACAUUGAUGCUCGAAAGUGUGGGUAUCAAACAGGAUUAGAUACCCCAGUAGUC